rnacentral:rRNA from 1 species
AGCGAACGCUGGCGGCAGGCCAAACACAUGCAAGUCGAACGGACCCUUCGGGGUUAGUGGCGGACGGGUGAGUAAUACGUGGGAUCGUGCAUUUAGGUUCGGUAUAGCUCCUGGAAACGGGUGGUACUGCCCAACGUGCCCUUUGGGGUACAGAUUUAUCGCCUUUAGAGCGGCCCGCGUCUGAUUAGCUAGUUGGUGAGGUUAAGGCUCACCAAGGCGACGAUCAGUAGCUGGUCUGAGAGGAUGACCAGCCACAUUGGGACUGAGACACGGCCCAAACGCCUACGGGAAGCAGCAGUGGGGAAUCGUGCGCAAUGGGCGAAAGCCUAACGCAGUCAUGCCGCGUGGAUGAUGAAGGUCUUAGGAUUGUAAAAUCCUUUCACCGGUGAAGAUAAUGACUGUAGCCGGAGAAGAAGCCCCGGCUAACUUCGUGCCAGCCGCCGCAGUAAAAC